rnacentral:rRNA from 1 species
AUUGAACGCUGGCGGCAGGCCUAACACAUGCAAGUCGAACGAGUGGCGGACGGGUGAGUUAUGUCUGGGACACUGCGUGAUGGAGGGGGAUAACUACUGGACACGGUAUCUAAUACCGCAUACAAUCAUGUGUGCCCAGAUGGGAUUAGCUGGUUGGUGGGGUAACGGCUCACCAAGGCGACGAUCUCUAGCUGGUCUGAGAGGAUGACCAGCCACACUGGAACUGAGACACGGUCCAGACUCCUACGGGAGGCAGCAGUGGGGAAUAUUGCACAAUGGGCGCAAGCCUGAUGCAGCCAUGCCGCGUGUAUGAAGAAGGCCUUAGGGUUGUAAAGUACUUUCAGCGGGGAGGCGUUACCCGCAGAAGAAGCACCGGCUAACUCCGUGCCAGCAGCCGCGGUAAUUC